CGAAGGGGGACCCCGCCCCAGCUGACACGGGAGCAGCCAUGGCCCAGACGAGUGGUAGGAAGGCCCGGCGUCAUCGCACAGGGCUUGGAAGAGAAGGAGGCCUUGGUGCUGUCUGGGAGCUCUCGAUCUGAUUAGGAAGUCAGGACCACCCCCCAGAGACAAGCAAACCCAGCAGCCGAGGCGGGGGCUGGAGAAGAUUUGGAGGUAGGGGAGCCCAGCAGAGGGGGUGGGGGCAGGACCCGCCUUGGAGAUCCUGCCCUCCAAAGUCAGUCAGUUGUCUGGGCUUUUUCUGAGAAAAGCACUCUGUGCUCUGAGACCUUGGCGAAGCCACUUCAUCACUGCGUGCCUCGGUUUCCCCAUCUGUUAAGUGGGGGCGAUCAGUCCUACCUCGGAGGAUUAAAUGAGAUACUGCAUAGAAAAAGCCUGCUCUGCACAGCAGCAGGUACACGCUAAGCACUCGGUAAGGUUGGCCGAUAAUAUUACAACGUUUUAAAUCGCCCUAGUGUUUCUAAUUCACAGUUUGCUGACGGCUUGGCUGAGGCUGAGCCGGGCAGGCUCUGCGUAUGUGAAAGUCGCCAGCGUCCAACCCCCGGAACCUGCCGGCUGGGAAGGAGAAAGCCGUCCGCUGCGACCGGGCAGCUCAGGGUUUGCAGAAAGGGCUCCGGCGCGCGUAAGUUCUGUCUACACGACCGCCAAAGCGUCCGGAACCCGGAUUCAGGAUUCAAGUUGCCAUCAGCUUCCAGAAGGAGCUUCGGGAUGGGGGGUCCUUGAAGGCAAUGGAGGGGCGGCGGGGCUCCGGGGGAGGCGGGGGUUCAGAGGGGGCUCCCUCCCCACCCCCGCCGGCGUCCUCCUCGCCCUGCCAGGCCAGGGCCAGCUGCAGGUCCAGCCCCUCCAAGUCCUCGCCGGUCAGGCUGGGGCGCAGCUCCCGGGGUGCGGCCUCCUGGUCUGGCUUCGGGCCAAACGCCCAGUCUGCGGCAAGGGAGCUGGUGAGGCAACUCCCCGGCCCCGGCCACCCUCCUCUGUCCCCUCCUCAGCUAGGAGAAGCACUAGGAUCCCCUGACCACCCACCCAGGGUGACCCAGCAUCGGCCCCAGCUGGGUUUCGGUGGGGGCAGCUCACCGGCCAGGUCGUGGGCGAGGUCUUUGAUGAGGUGCCCGACGAUGGCGUAGGCGACGGCCACCACCACCAGCGCGGCCAGCAGCAGGUCACAUUCAUGGGUACCAGGGGUUACCACCUGGACAAGCCUUUUCGGGGGACACGAUUUGACCCAAGUCCAGCUGUUUGAAGCUGCUAAGUUUGGAGUAAUCUGUUGCACAGCCACAAGGAUCUUAGGCAGGUUUCUCAACCUCUGCACUCAUUUGGGGCCGGAUCAUUCUCUGUUGUGGGGACCGAGUGCUGGAGGUUAUCUUCCAGCAUCCCUGGCCUCCCCCGACUACCUGACUAGAUGCCAGCUGCACACCCCCACCCCCCACCCCAUGACAAGCUAAACUGAUGCCCCGGGGCAGGAUCCAGCACUCCGGUGGAGAACAUGGCUCAGUGGAUAGUCGGUUCCCGUUGCGUUUUGCCUCCUGUCUUCUGGUUUUGGCCUCUCUGGCUGCAGACCAGGAGCUCUGCACCUGAGAUUCUACCGCUAUGCCUAUUUUACAGAGAGGAGCUGGGGGAAGACGGGGGUCCGGGAAGGGCCAGGCUGGAGGGCUGUUUCCCCAGAGCCCACUUGGAGGGAGCUGGCUGGGCAGAUCUGACCAGGUAACCGCACAUAAAACAGGUGCAGGCCUGCCUGUCGCUGGUGGUGGCUCAGUGUCAGCAGCAGGACAGAUCCUAGAGCCAAUGGCUGCGGAUACAACCGUCUCCCCGCCCAG
rnacentral:lncRNA from 1 species